rnacentral:rRNA from 1 species
UACACACCGCCCGUCACACCAUGGGAGUUGGCUUUACCCGAAGACGGUGCGCUAACCGCAAGGAGGCAGCCGGCCACGGUAAGGUCAGCGACUGAGGUG